rnacentral:rRNA from 1 species
AGUGAACGCUGGCGGCAGGCCUAACACAUGCAAGUCGAACGGCAGCACAGUAAGAGCUUGUUCUUACGGGUGGCGAGUGGCGGACGGGUGAGGAAUACAUCGGAAUCUACUUUUUCGUGGGGGAUAACGUAGGGACACUUACGCUAAUACCGCAUACGACCUACGGGUGAAAGCAUGGGAUCUUCGGACCUUGCGCGAUUGUAUGAGGCGAUGUCGGAUUAGCUAGUUGGCGGGGUAAAGGCCCACCAAGGCGACGAUCCGUAGCUGGUCUGAGAGGAUGAUCAGCCACACUGGAACUGAGACACGGUCCAGACUCCUACGGGAGGCAGCAGUGGGGAAUAUUGGACAAUGGGCGCAAGCCUGAUCCAGCCAUACCGCGUGGGUGAAGAAGGCCUUCGGGUUGUAAAGCCCUUUUGUUGGGAAAGAAAAGCAGCAGGUUAAUACCCCGCUGUUCUGACGGUACCCAAAGAAUAAGCACCGGCUAGCUUCGUG